CGCGCAGGCGGUCCUGUAAGUCGGGUGUGAAAGCCCGGGGCUCAACCCCGGAAGUGCACUCGAAACUAUGGGACUUGAGUAUGGGAGAGGGAAGUGGAAUUCCUGGUGUAGCGGUGAAAUGCGUAGAUAUCAGGAGGAACAUCGGUGGCGAAGGCGACUUCCUGGACCAAUACUGACGCUGAGGCGCGAAGGCGUGGGGAGCAAACA
rnacentral:rRNA from 1 species